GCCGGGCGUGGUGGCGCACGCCUGUAAUCGCAGCUACUCAGGAGGCUGAGGCACAUGAAUCGCUUGAACCCAGGAGGCAGAGGUUGUAGUGAGCCGAGAUUGCACCACUGCACUCCAGCCUGGGUGACAGAGCGAGACUCUGUCUCAA
rnacentral:SRP_RNA from 1 species